GAGAGUGAAGUUGGUCACACUUCUUCAUAGGCUCUGCUGUCAUGGAGGGAUUCUGACAAACCCUCAGCGGCUGACUAACGUGACAUGGGAUGCGAAGUCACAAAAUCAAACCAACUGCAGCUGAAACCAUGCAAUCGAGGUGCGUGAACCAACAAGAUGAUUAAAAAAUUCAGAGCUUUCAGCUGAAUAUCUGCCUGAGAAACAGCUCACAUUGCUCUGUGUCUGACUUUGUCUCUGUCUGUAGGAAACAUCUCAGUUCCAGCAGCUACAGGUCAGACAGAUCGCAUGUUUCUGUGAGUCUAAAGAAACAUCACCGUCACUCAUGUCUCCUGCUGGCCUGACUGUGUCUGUCUCUCUCUCUGUCUGUCUUUCUCUGUCUGUGUGAUGCGAUGCGGGCGGCGCUGGUAUCGUCAGUAUGUGGCGCGGCUGGAGAUGAGACGCCGCUGCACCUGGAACAUCUUUCAGUCGAUAGAGUAUUCUGGACAACAGGAUCAUAUCAAGCUGUAUAAUUUCUUCGGUUACCUGAUGGAUCAUUUCAGUUCUGCCAACAGCCGAAGUAAGAAGCAAGUUCUUCAGCUGUGUCUGAUCUGAUGAAGUGCUCAGGGUAACUGAAUAGACUGACACAUGCGUCUCCUUCAGGCCAUCUGGUCUCUCAGAUGUUUGGUGAGAGCGAGGUGUCUUAAUACACAGAGUGGGAGAGACGCAUCUGUUAUAAGCACAUUGAGGUUCCAGACGUCUACACCGGCCUGCAUCUCUCCUUCCCGCUGAGCAUCUCCAACGUCACAGAGCUGGUGCACGCCUU